rnacentral:rRNA from 1 species
GAUGAACGCUGGCGGCGUGCCUAAUACAUGCAAGUCGAGCGAACGGACGAGAAGCUUGCUUCUCUGAUGUUAGCGGCGGACGGGUGAGUAACACGUGGAUAACCUACCUAUAAGACUGGGAUAACUUCGGGAAACCGUAGCUAAUACCGGAUAAUAUUUUGAACCGCAUGGUUCAAAAGUGAAAGACGGUCUUGCUGUCACUUAUAGAUGGAUCCGCGCUGCAUUAGCUAGUUGGUAAGGUAACGGCUUACCAAGGCAACGAUGCAUAGCCGACCUGAGAGGGUGAUCGGCCACACUGGAACUGAGACACGGUCCAGACUCCUACGGGAGGCAGCAGUAGGGAAACUUCCGCAAUGGGCGAAAGCCUGACGGAGCAACGCCGCGUGAGUGAUGAAGGUCUUCGGAUCGUAAAACUCUGUUAUUAGGGAAGAACAUAUGUGUAAGUAACUGUGCACAUCUUGACGGUACCUAAUCAGAAAGCCACGGCUAACUACAUG